GGCUCCGUCGUACAACGGAUAGUACGCAGGUCUUCGGAACCUGAGAUUGGGGUUCGAUUCCCUACGGGGCUA
rnacentral:tRNA from 1 species